UGCAACGACGCCCAUGCGUCGUUUUUCUUUUGUGAGUCACGUCAAUUUAGUUUCAAAUUGUUUAUACUGGCACUGGUUAAUGUCGAACCUAACAUUUUGUUGAAAAAGAUCAUACCAUAUAUUUUUAUACCAUCUAUCUUAUCUCCAGAAGACAAAAAGCAAGUAUAACAUCAAUUUCAUCGGUGUCAUCAAUCGAAUGGACAUACGGGAUAUGGAUGCAAAAUUGUAAUAUACCUACGUAAAAACACAUGGAUGAGGAUAUGAUGUAAUCGUAUUGUGCAUAUUUCCUAGAAGCUGUGUUUGUACUGUUUCAUUUGAAUCGGCCACUACAUAAUUAUCUCCGUAGUUACACAUAUUUCAACCUCAAAAUUUCAAUGUUUUGUACUUAGAUCGAAGUCAAGUCAUGACACUGCAAUGCGAUCACAGAUUGUCUAUCAAAUAGUGUAAUUUAAACGAGUGGGUAGUACAAACUUAUCUAUGCGAAAAUAAA